GAGAGAGUUGUGUGUCUAUAUUUGGAGUUCCCUUUGUUCACCUUACUACGACUUUACUACUAGAUUCCUGUCAAUCACCGUGGCCUUGCACGUGGGACACUCCACGCAUGGACUACAGGUAAACGUGAUUAGAUUUCCUCUCAGGUGCUAAUUAUCACAGUUUGAGGAACCUUUUCACCUAAGGAGUGGAUCUUUCAAAGGAUUUCAUUGAAGUAUUGGAUUUUACCUUAUUUCAAGAGGAACCAUGUUUUUGGACACUGUUCGAUUUGGAGUUUGUUUACUUGAAAGAGUGUUGUUUGCUUUCAUAAUUAGCAUAAAUACACACCAGGUAUGCUCUAAGUAUCAAAAAGGGAUCGGUUAAAACUUUUCAAAAAGUUUUACAAUGAAAUGUACGCAGUUUCAGUGAUGAAGCCCAAGAAAAGUUUUCACUUCCGGGUGUUGAUGGGCGUUUCAGUGAUGUAUCGGAAUUUGUGCCAUAUUAUGUGAUCAAGUGAGUUAAUGUGACGUAAUGUUUUACUUCCGUGGAUAUAUAUGUGUAUUCAAGCCUUCUUAACUCAAGAAACGAACUUAAUACGGAUUACAUAUUGACAAGGGAUGCCCUGUCAAUUACGCAUGCAGCGCCAACGCACGUGCUGCGCGCGCUUGACAAUGACCAUUGUUUACAACAGCAGACGACAAAAUGGAGCAACAUGUGCAUAAUAACGCCUCUGGAUUACCGGUAUAAUUAGGAGGAUAUUCGCAUUUUCUGAAACAAUAUUUGAUGAAGGAUUGGAUGGUGAAGAAGUAGACAGAGAUUCUGCACAUCAGCCUGUCAUGUCUGGCAUGUUUAUCACAACUUAAAAAGAAAGGAUCUUCCGUACUGCUGUUUAAUGAUUAGGAUCCUACCUAAAGAGCACUGGUGUCAGAUGAUGUGUUAGGAAUACCAUGUUACAGGUACAAAAUAGUUACUCUUUCAUGCACUUGUCCUUGUACCCUGAAGUUGAAGAAACAUUCUCAUAGAACAUUGAAUGGAUAAGAUGGUGUGCUAGCAUUGCUACCAUUGAUAAAAUGACGCUUCACAGCAACAUGCGUGUCUGCACAAAUGUGUGCAAAUGACCACUGGAUAUUCCUAUCUCUCUUCUCGAGGAUAUCAGCAGUACAUUGUGUGCAAAUGACCACUGGAUAUUCUUAUCUCUCUUGUCGAGGAUAUCAGCAGUACAAUGUGUGCAAAUGACCACUGGAUAUUCCUAUCUCUCCUUGUCGAGGAUAUCAGCAGUACAUUGCAGUGGAAUAUGAUAUCGAUGCAGGACAGACUGACACUUAUUGCACAGAACGUAAUAAUUCACGUAUUGCACAGAAUGUAAUAACUCAUUUUGACAAGCAGAGUACUUACAUUGGCUGUGUGUAUGUAUGUAGUAUGAUAUACUCACCUACAUACAUUGAACGACAACGCACAUAUUGAUUUCAACAGAAAGCGCUGACAGAGGAAAUUUCAGCACUAAUGCAGAUUUCGUUGUGCAAGGGCGGCGGUUUCACCAUCUGGGGAGCGUGUAUUUCAUAUUUGGAGGCGCUAUAUACUUUAGAGGAACCUGUGUUGCAAGUUGCAAAUGGAAAUUUUGUAUUGUGAUGUAUUCCCGAAAAUACUGUGAGUCCUUUUACUAGGAUAUCCGUGCAGUUUGUUGGAAGCAGUCACAGUAAUCACAGGUAAUGUCCUACAGGAUGUGCUAUUGAUUCAAAUUCUUAUGUAAAGUGAGAGCAGUUUUAUUGUCGCCUUGAAGGAUCAUAACACCAUCAUCAUGGACAAUUGUAUUUCAAUUUAAGAUGUUUUAUUUCCUACAAAAUCAAAGACAAGAUGGAUGAUAACAUGUGUAAUUGGGCAAAACAUGCUUGAUGAUCCAGAAGCAGAAAGGAAGUGAAACAUGAAUCCAAUAAACAGAGAUUUCAAAUGUGUAAUCAGGCACCUGAAGAACAGGUCACAAGAGGAUUAAGUGCAGAAAGUGGAUUAGCUUCACAAAUGCAUGUUUUCCUCAUACAAGCACAUUUGAUGUGUAGUUUAUAUGGUGUUGUUCUUGAUGCCAUUGAUUUCAAGGCAGCAGCUGUCUUUGUGUGGUUAAAGAGAUUGUGUUUGUACCUGUAUGAUUGCAGCAAAUGCAUGUUGAUGCUUACCAACUGCUGUAAAAUUGAAUCUUUGGAGAAGCCCCAGCAUAUCAAGAUAGUGUGUUCUCAUUGAGUGUAGCAUUUUGGCAAUUACUGAAUCUGAUGUGAGAGUUCAUUCCAAAUGCUUGAUGAGGAACUGAGAUUUCUACUGUGUGAGAUUGAUAAGGAACAAGUUCAAACUAAUCAUUCAGUGUGUGUUGUAAUGUUCAUAGAUGAAAACCAAAAAGGAUUGGAAAGUUCCCCAUCAGCAUAGCACAGAAUGUUCCUCAGCUGCAUUGUGUCCAUAUCGUCAUGAUGGAAGUGAAACAACAGUACUAUUAGUCUAGUGCUGCCAAAUCGGAAAGAUGUAUUCUUUAUUACAUUAUCCUAAGGAGUACAGCCAGUGGAGAUUGUUGUGUUCGUCCAAAGUAUCACAGACAAAUGUAAGAUCCAACUGGGAGUAGCUCUUCAGGAAUUGAUGUCAUCCAGCAAAUAGUCACUCUUGCCAAAAGAGUAAAUUGUGCCAAUGAGCUGAAAAUAGUUUUUAUAUAUUCCUUUACCUGGAGGUAUUCGAGGCUGGUCAUUAUUGCUUUGUCAAGCAAUUCUGUCUUCCUGGAUUGGAUGUAUGUGUUCUUCAUCAUCAUGAAAUAUUACAUUGACAUCAUGAAUAUUGUUUCAUUUCUUUGUGAUUGACUAAGAAUCAUUUUUGGGUCUGAAUCCUGCAUCAUUUUGCAACCCCAAAAACAUUUUUAGAAACCAGAUUUGAAGAUUUACUCAUGUAUACUUCUGUUACAUGGGGGAUAUUUGUCAAAUGUAGUGUUUAUGGAGAUCUAAGUUUUCAUUUCAAAAGCUGUAUGUUGAUCAUAGACACCGUAAAACCUUCAGUUACAUUUUAGUAUGUAAUAAUCAAUUUUCAUUUUUGUAUUUUAUCAAUAUUUCUUGAAAAACAAUGUUACAUCAUUCAAUAUAAAUGUAUAAGAAUUAUUAAUAUUUUCUAAAUCAUGUCAAACUAUUAAAAUACUGAACUCUGCUACUAAUAUUGUAAUGCAGGUCUCUUGUUUCAUGUUUAGAAACCAGGAAUCUGGGCAGUUGUAAUAACCAUUCUGCAUUUGUUGUUAUGAUAUACCCAAAUGAUAAAAUAAAAUAUACUUUUUUGAAAAGG